UACGUAGGGGGCGAGCGUUGUCCGGAUUUAUUGGGCGUAAAGAGCGAUGUAGGCGGCUUGGUAGGUCUGCUGUGAAAACUCGGGGCUCAACCCCGAGACGUCGGGUGGAAACCACCUGGCUAGAGUCCGGAAGAGGAGAAGUGGAAGUUCCUGGUGGUAGCGGUGAAAUGCGCAGAUAUCAGGAGGAACACCUAUUGCGAAGGCAGCUCGCUGGGACGUAACCUGACGCUGAGACGCGAAAGCGUGGGGAGCAAACAGG
rnacentral:rRNA from 1 species